GAUGAACGCUGGCGGCGUGCCUAAUACAUGCAAGUCGAGCGAACGGACGGGAAGCUUGCUUUUCUGAUGUUAGCGGCGGACGGGUGAGUAACACGUGGAUAACCUACCUAUAAGACUGGGAUAACUUCGGGAAACCGGAGCUAAUACCGGAUAAUAUUUUGAACCGCAUGGUUCAAAAGUGAAAGACGGUCUUGCUGUCACUUAUAGAUGGAUCCGCGCUGCAUUAGCUAGUUGGUAAGGUAACGGCUUACCAAGGCAACGAUGCAUAGCCGACCUGAGGGGGUGAUCAGCCACACUGGGACUGAGACACGGCCCAGACUCCUACGGGAGGCAGCAGUGGGGAAUUUUGCACAAUGGGCGAAAGCCUGAUCGAGCAACGCCGCGUGCAGGAUGAAGGUCUUCGGGUUGUAAAACGCUGUUGUUAGGGAAGAACAGCUGUGUAAGUAACUGUGCACAUCUUGACGGUACCGAAUCAGAAAGCCACGGCUAACUACGUG
rnacentral:rRNA from 1 species